UACAGAGGGUGCGAGCGUUAAUCGGAAUUACUGGGCGUAAAGCGUGCGUAGACGGUUAUUUAAGUCGGAUGUGAAAGCCCCGGGCUCAACCUGGGAAUUGCAUUCGAGACUGAAUAGCUAGGGUGCGGUAGAGGGAAGCGGAAUUUCCGGUGUAGCGGUGAAAUGCGUAGAUAUCGGAAGGAACAUCAGUGGCGAAAGCGGCAUCCUGGGUCGGUAUUGACGCUGAGGAGCGGAAGCCAGGGGAGCAAACGGG
rnacentral:rRNA from 1 species